CACGCCCUAAACGAUGCGAACUGGAUGUUGGGUGCAAUUUGGCACGCAGUAUCGAAGCUAACGCGUUAAGUUCGCCGCCUGGGGAGUACGGUCGCAAGACUGAAACUCAAAGGAAUUGACGGGGGCCCGCACAAGCGGUGGAGUAUGUGGUUUAAUUCGAUGCAACGCGAAGAACCUUACCUGGCCUUGACAUGUCGAGAACUUUCCAGAGAUGGAUUGGUGCCUUCGGGAACUCGAACACAGGUGC
rnacentral:rRNA from 1 species